GGAUCCCAUUAGAUCUUCGAAGUUAAGCGUGCUUGGGCGAGAGUAGUACUAGGAUGGGUGACCUCCUGGGAAGUACCUCGUGUUGCAUUCCCC
rnacentral:rRNA from 1 species